GACGAACGCUGGCGGCGUGCUUAACACAUGCAAGUCGAGCGGUAAGGCCCUUUCGGGGGUACACGAGCGGCGAACGGGUGAGUAACACGUGGGUGACCUGCCCUCAGCUCUGGGAUAAGCCUGGGAAACCGGGUCUAAUACUGGAUAUGACUCCAUGACGCAUGUUGUGGGGUGGAAAGCCUUGUGCGGCUGAGGAUGGGCCCGCGGCCUAUCAGCUUGUUGGUGGGGUGAGGCCUACCAAGGCGACGACGGGUAGCCGGCCUGAGAGGGCGACCGGCCACACUGGGACUGAGACACGGCCCAGACUCCUACGGGAGGCAGCAGUGGGGAAUCUUGCGCAAUGGGCGAAAGCCUGACACAGCGACGCCGCGUGAGGGAUGACGGCCU
rnacentral:rRNA from 1 species